UACGGAGGGUGCAAGCGUUAUCCGGAUUUACUGGGUUUAAAGGGUGCGUAGGCGGACUUUUAAGUUAGAUGUGAAAGCUUGCAGCUUAACUGUAAGAUUGCGUUUGAUACUGGAAGUCUUGAAUAUGGUAGAAGUUGGCGGAAUAAAUCAUGUAGCGGUGAAAUGCAUAGAUAUGAUUUAGAACACCGAUUGCGAAGGCAGCUAGCUAUGUCAUAAUUGACGCUGAGGCACGAAAGCGUGGGGAUCAAACAGG
rnacentral:rRNA from 2 species